UGGUGGUUUGAAUUGUCUGGUUAAAUCCGAUAACGAACAAGACCUUUUCCUGCUAUUUAGCUUAGGAGGGUCUGAUAAAAUUGGGAAGAUUCUCUUGUCAAUGACUUCAGAAUCCCAAAACUUAGCUUCUUAGAGGCACGCUUUUUGUUUGUGAAACAAUUAAAAGGAAGAAAGACAAUAACA
rnacentral:rRNA from 1 species